GAGAUGAGGCGCAUCGAUCAUCAGUAACUUAUUAAUCAUUAAUUCUCGGGGAUUAUAGUAAGUGAAAGGGUAAGAUGCCGAAACGGUCUAUUUUUCGAGAGAUAGGCUGUUGGGUCACUAGGUUAAGAGCUAAUGACUUGUCAUUAUUAUAAUGAUAAUGGAGUGCAUC
rnacentral:ncRNA from 1 species